rnacentral:rRNA from 1 species
GAUGAACGCUGGCGGCGUGCCUAAUACAUGCAAGUCGAGCGAACAGACGAGGAGCUUGCUCCUCUGACGUUAGCGGCGGACGGGUGAGUAACACGUGGAUAACCUACCUAUAAGACUGGGAUAACUUCGGGAAACCGGAGCUAAUACCGGAUAAUAUAUUGAACCGCAUGGUUCAAUAGUGAAAGACGGUUUUGCUGUCACUUAUAGAUGGAUCCGCGCCGCAUUAGCUAGUUGGUAAGGUAACGGCUUACCAAGGCGACGAUGCGUAGCCGACCUGAGAGGGUGAUCGGCCACACUGGAACUGAGACACGGUCCAGACUCCUACGGGAGGCAGCAGUAGGGAAUCUUCCGCAAUGGGCGAAAGCUUGACGGAGCAACGCCGCGUGAGUGAUGAAGGUCUUCGGAGCGUAAAACUCUGUUAUUAGGGAAGAACAAAUGUGUAAGUAACUAUGCACGUCUUGACGGUACCUAAUCAGAAAGCCACGGCUAACUACGUG